AGAUGCGAUCAUACCAGCACUAAUGCAUCGAAUCCCAUCAAAACUACGCAGUUAAGGGUGAUCGGGCGAGAGUAGUACUAGGAUGGGUGACCUCCAGAAAAGUCCUCGUGUUGCAUCCC
rfam:Arabidopsis thaliana chromosome 3, complete sequence.